rnacentral:rRNA from 1 species
CUCAGGAUGAACGCUGGCGGCGUGCUUAACACAUGCAAGUCGAACGGAACUCCUAUGAACGAGGUUUCGGCCAAGUGAAUAGGAGUGUUUAGUGGCGGACGGGUGAGUAACGCGUGAGUAACCUGCCUUGGAGUGGGGAAUAACACAGUGAAAAAUUGUGCUAAUACCGCAUAAUGCAUUUGGAUCGCAUGAUUCUGAAUGCCAAAGAUUUAUCGCUCUGAGAUGGACUCGCGUCUGAUUAGCUAGUUGGCGGGGCAACGGCCCACCAAGGCGACGAUCAGUAGCCGGACUGAGAGGUUGGCCGGCCACAUUGGGACUGAGACACGGCCCAGACUCCUACGGGAGGCAGCAGUGGGGAAUAUUGGGCAAUGGGCGCAAGCCUGACCCAGCAACGCCGCGUGAAGGAAGAAGGCUUUCGGGUUGUAAACUUCUUUUGUCAGGGACGAAGCAAGUGACGGUACCUGACGAAUAAGCCACGGCUAACUACGUG